UACAGAGGUCCCAAGCGUUGUUCGGAUUCACUGGGCGUAAAGGGUGCGUAGGUGGCUUGGUAAGUUUGAUGUGAAAUCUCCGGGCUUAACCCAGAAAGGUCAACUGAUACUGCGGGGCUAGAGUGCAGAAGGGGCAACUGGAAUUCUCGGUGUAGCGGUGAAAUGCGUAGAUAUCGAGAGGAACACCUGCGGCGAAGGCGGGUUGCUGGGCUGACACUGACGCUGAAGCGCGAAAGCUAGGGGAGCGAACGGG
rnacentral:rRNA from 1 species